GACGAACGCUGGCGGCGUGCCUAAUACAUGCAAGUCGAGCGGACGAAUCGAAAGCUUGCUUUUGAUUCGUUAGCGGCGGACGGGUGAGUAACACGUGGGCAACCUGCCCUGUAGACGGGGAUAACACCGAGAAAUCGGUGCUAAUACCGGAUAACACGAAAUGUCGCAUGACGUUUCGUUGAAAGACGGCGCAAGCUGUCGCUACAGGAUGGGCCCGCGGCGCAUUAGCUAGUUGGUGAGGUAACGGCUCACCAAGGCGACGAUGCGUAGCCGACCUGAGAGGGUGAUCGGCCACACUGGGACUGAGACACGGCCCAGACUCCUACGGGAGGCAGCAGUAGGGAAUCUUCCGCAAUGGACGAAAGUCUGACGGAGCAACGCCGCGUGAGUGAAGAAGGCCUUCGGGUCGUAAAGCUCUGUUGUUAGGGAAGAACAAGUAACGCAGUAACUGGCGUUACCGUGACGGUACCUAACGAGAAAGCCACGGCUAACUACGUG
rnacentral:rRNA from 1 species